ACUUACUGUUGUUGUUGCUGUUGCUGCUGCUACUGCUGAUGCAAAAUUUAAGUGUCAGGAUCCUUUUAAAGUUUGCAUGAAAUUAUGUUGUGAUAAAAAUUAUAUUUAUAAUUUUCAAUUACAAAAAUGUGUCCAAACCAUUCAUUUAAAUUUAUCGUGGACGAAGACUCUGCAAAUUAAUAAUAUAACUAAAUCCGAGAAUUUGCUUGAUAAAAUCGAUUUUGAACAAGUCUUACCUUGUAACACAUCGAGAAAUUUUGCAAAUUACGAUUAUGAUAUGCUGGAAAUGAAGUAUGUUUCUGGAAAUUAUUGUUUCACACCCUUCUAUGCCAGAGAGCGUAGGCAACAUGUCCUCUUGCCUAUCUCUACGAAUUGCAAUGAGACAUUGAAUAGUGAGGAAAUAUUCAUUGAGCCUUUCACAAACCCCUAUUUGUCCAUGAUCUUUAUGAUCAUAUCACUAACAAUGGUCUGUUCCCUGAUGAUCAUGUAUAUGUACGGAAAAAUUAAGGACUGGGGCCAAAAUGUUAUGACCAAUCUGCUGAUAAGUUAUGGCGCAGCCCUGAUAAUACAAUUACUUCUUAUGAUGUUUCUUUUUUUAUAAUUUGCUAUAUCCAAACUUAAUGACAAAACAUGAUGCAUUGUUCUAUAUUUUGGCGGAGCCGGCUUACUGUGGUUCAAUGUCAUUUGUUAUGAAUUACCAGGUGCUUUUUUAAAUAUUUCAAAAAGCUGGAUCAAAACUCUAUGUUAUUCGUUGUUUGUGUGGCUGCUGGCAUUACCACUGAUGUUCCUGCAUGUACACCUUGCGAAUAUGGGUUUUGCAUAUGCCAUGGGAUUUGGUGUCUCCCUUUUGCCGAUAAAUUUAAUAUGUUUUACGGUAAUGAUCUUUAAAAAGUAUGGCUUUUUAAAAUGGAGACAUGUGGACAUACGGAUGUAUUUACAAAUUGGACUAAAACUGAUCCUCAUAUUGGGACAAUCAAGCAUCAACUACUUCAUUGCUAUGGCGAUUAGUUUAAGUGUAAAACAAACAAAAUUAAUUGCAUUUAUGCACACUAUAAGUUUAGUCUAUCUGACCGAUGUUAUAUUGAUUUUAUUUGUUUGGAAAUUUCAUGAUAUUUUGAAAUCAAUAUUCGGUUGUUGUGGUUCAAAAGUUUCGGCAGAUCAUGCUUCGAUAACUGAUGGCGGCGUUAUUUGAAUAUAAGCAAAAAUCAUUUUGUUUUGAUUUCAAAAUCAUUAUAAAACUGUUGAUAUUAAAAAAGAGCACUGUAGUCUAACAUGAACUAAUUGCAGGAAGUAAAUAAGGGUAACUGACAAACCCACUUUGUAAAAAAAAAACUUUAUUCCUACAACAUUUUGUAACACAAUAAUUGUCUAUCAAUGGUCCAAUAAGACGAAACCCACGUUUCACAAUAAAACAAUGCUCUCCAUUAGGUAA